AUACUCUGAUUUCUCUUCAUAUUGUACAAAUCUUUUGCCUUCUACUAAAGAUUUCCAGGGAGAGGAACGAUUCUGAGUGUUUACCCAAUGUUUUGAGGACUUGCUUUUGACAAGGCU